UACGGAGGGGCGAGGCGUUGUCCGAAUUUAUUGGGCGUAAAGCGCGUGUAGGCGGAUGGACAAGCCUGAGGUGAAAGGUUGGGGCUCAACCCCAUACAGUGCCUUGGGGACUGUUCGUCUGGAGGCCGGCAGAGGAGAGUGGAAUUCCUGGUGUAGCGGUGGAAUGCGUAGAGAUCAGGAAGAACACCCAUAGCGAAGGCAGCUCUCUGGGCCGGUACUGACGCUGAGACGCGAAAGCGCGGGGAGCGAACGGG
rnacentral:rRNA from 1 species